GGGCUCGUAGCUCAACGGCAGAGCAGGUGCCUUUUAAGCACUUGGUUGGGCGUUCGAAUCGCCCCGAGCUCA
rnacentral:tRNA from 1 species